rnacentral:rRNA from 1 species
GGGUCAGUAGGUUGGUCGUGCCACCGGUACGUACUGGUCUCACUGAUUCCUCCUUCCCGAAGGACCGUAAUGCCAUUAAUUUGGUGUUGCGGGGAAACAGGACUGUUACUUUGAAAAAAUUAGAGUGUUUAAAGCAAGCUAACGCUUGAAUACAUUAGCAUGGAAUAAUGAAAUAGGACGAUCGAUCCUAUUUUGUUGGUUUCUAGGAUUGACGUA